AGGGGUCCCGCAUGGGAAUAUUUGUUAAAGAUUCAUCGCUGAUAGAUAGGCAUGCGUUCCAUUAGGCAGUUGGCGGGGUAACGGCCCACCAAACCGACGAUGGAUAGGGGUUCUGAGAGGAAGGUCCCCCACAUUGGUACUGAGACACGGACCAAACUCCUACGGGAGGCAGCAGUGAGGAAUAUUGGUCAAUGGCCGAGAGGCUGAACCAGCCAAGUCGCGUGAAGGAAGAAGGAUCUAUGGUUUGUAAACUUCUUUUAUAGGGGAAUAAAGUGGAGGACGUGUCCUUUUUUGUAUGUACCCUAUGAAUAAGCAUUGGCUAACUCCGUGCCAGCAGCCGCGGUAAUACGGAGGAUGCGAGCGUUAUCCGGAUUUAUUGGGUUUAAAGGGUGCGUAGGUGGUGAUUUAAGUCAGCGGUGAAAGUUUGUGGCUCAACCAUAAAAUUGCCGUUGAAACUGGGUUACUUGAGUGUGUUUGAGGUAGGCGGAAUGCGUGGUGUAGCGGUGAAAUGCAUAGAUAUCACGCAGAACUCCGAUUGCGAAGGCAGCUUACUAAACCAUAACUGACACUGAAGCACGAAAGCGUGGGGAUCAAACAGGAUUAGAUACCCUGGUAGUCCACGCAGUAAACGAGGAUUACUAGGAGUUUGCGAUACAAUGUAAGCUCUACAGCGAAAGCGUUAAGUAAUCCACCUGGGGAGUACGCCGGCAACGGUGAAACUCAAAGGAAUUGACGGGGGCCCGCACAAGCGGAGGAACAUGUGGUUUAAUUCGAUGAUACGCGAGGAACCUUACCCGGGUUUGAACGUAGUCUGACCGGAGUGGAAACACUCUUUCUAGCAAUAGCAGAUUACGAGGUGCUGCAUGGUUGUCGUCAGCUCGUGCCGUGAGGUGUCGGCUUAAGUGCCAUAACGAGCGCAACCCUUAUCACUAGUUACUAACAGGUGAAGCUGAGGACUCUGGUGAGACUGCCAGCGUAAGCUGUGAGGAAGGUGGGGAGGACGUCAAAUCAGCACGGCCCUUACAUCCGGGGCGACACACGUGUUACAAUGGCAUGGACAAAGGGCAGCUACCUGGUGACAGGAUGCUAAUCUCCAAACCAUGUCUCAGUUCGGAUCGGAGUCUGCAACUCGACUCCGUGAAGCUGAUUCGCUAGUAAUCGCGCAUCAGCCAUGGCGCGGUGAAUAAGUUCCCGGGCCUUGCACU
rnacentral:rRNA from 1 species